rnacentral:rRNA from 1 species
CCGACUCCUACGGGAUGCAGCAGUGGGGAAUCUUCCGCAAUGGGCGCAAGCCUGACGGAGCAACGCCGCGUGAGUGAAGAAGGUCUUCGGAUCGUAAAGCUCUGUUGAUGGGGACGAACGUGCCUAAUGCGAAUAGUUUUAGGCAAUGACGGUACCCAUCGAGGAAGCCACGGCUAACUACGUGCCAGCAGCCGCGGUAAUACGUAGGUGGCGAGCGUUGUCCGGAAUCAUUGGGCGUAAAGGGAGCGCAGGCGGGCAUGUAAGUCUUUCUUAAAAGUGCGGGGCUCAACCCCGUGAUGGGAAAGAAACUAUGUGUCUUGAGUACAGGAGAGGAAAGCGGAAUUCCCAGUGUAGCGGUGAAAUGCGUAGAUAUUGGGAGGAACACCAGUGGCGAAGGCGGCUUUCUGGACUGCAACUGACGCUGAGGCUCGAAAGCCAGGGGAGCGAACGGGAUUAGAUACCCCGGUAGUCCUGGCCGUAAACGAUGGAUACUAGGUGUGGGAGGUAUCGACCCCUACCGUGC